rnacentral:rRNA from 1 species
CCUUGGCGGCAGGCUACACAUGCAAGUCGAGCGGUAGCACAGAGAGCUUGCUCUCGGGUGACGAGCGGCGGACGGGUGAGUAAUGUCUGGGAAACUGCCUGAUGGAGGGGGAUAACUACUGGAAACGGUAGCUAAUACCGCAUAACGUCGCAAGACCAAAGUGGGGGACCUUCGGGCCUCAUGCCAUCAGAUGUGCCCAGAUGGGAUUAGCUGGUAGGUGGGGUAACGGCUCACCUAGGCGACGAUCCCUAGCUGGUCUGAGAGGAUGACCAGCCACACUGGAACUGAGACACGGUCCAGACUCCUACGGGAGGCAGCAGUGGGGAAUAUUGCACAAUGGGCGCAAGCCUGAUGCAGCCAUGCCGCGUGUGUGAAGAAGGCCUUCGGGUUGUAAAGCACUUUCAGCGGGGAGGAAGGCGGUGAGGUUAAUAACCUCAUCGAUUGACGUUACCCGCAGAAGAAGCACCGGCUAACUCCGUGCCAGCAGCCGCGGUAAUACGGAGGGUGCAAGCGUUAAUCGGAAUUACUGGGCGUAAAGCGCACGCAGGCGGUCUGUCAAGUCGGAUGUGAAAUCCCCGGGCUCAACCUGGGAACUGCAUUCGAAACUGGCAGGCUAGAGUCUUGUAGAGGGGGGUAGAAUUCCAGGUGUAGCGGUGAAAUGCGUAGAGAUCUGGAGGAAUACCGGUGGCGAAGGCGGCCCCCUGGACAAAGACUGACGCUCAGGUGCGAAAGCGUGGGGAGCAAACAGGAUUAGAUACCCUGGUAGUCCACGCUGUAAACGAUGUCGAUUUGGAGGUUGUGCCCUUGAGGCGUGGCUUCCGGAGCUAACGCGUUAAAUCGACCGCCUGGGGAGUACGGCCGCAAGGUUAAAACUCAAAUGAAUUGACGGGGGCCCGCACAAGCGGUGGAGCAUGUGGUUUAAUUCGAUGCAACGCGAAGAACCUUACCUGGUCUUGACAUCCACAGAACUUUCCAGAGAUGGAUUGGUGCCUUCGGGAACUGUGAGACAGGUGCUGCAUGGCUGUCGUCAGCUCGUGUUGUGAAAUGUUGGGUUAAGUCCCGCAACGAGCGCAACCCUUAUCCUUUGUUGCCAGCGGUUCGGCCGGGAACUCAAAGGAGACUGCCAGUGAUAAACUGGAGGAAGGUGGGGAUGACGUCAAGUCAUCAUGGCCCUUACGACCAGGGCUACACACGUGCUACAAUGGCAUAUACAAAGAGAAGCGACCUCGCGAGAGCAAGCGGACCUCAUAAAGUAUGUCGUAGUCCGGAUUGGAGUCUGCAACUCGACUCCAUGAAGUCGGAAUCGCUAGUAAUCGUAGAUCAGAAUGCUACGGUGAAUACGUUCCCGGGCCUUGUACACACCGCCCGUCACACCAUGGGAGUGGGUUGCAAAAGAAGUAGGUAGCUUAACCUUCGGGAGGGCGCUACCCACUUUUGGAUUCCCGG